rnacentral:rRNA from 1 species
GAUUCGUCACACUAUCAUUAACUGAAUCCAUAGGUUAAUGAGGCGAACCGGGGGAACUGAAACAUCUAAGUACCCCGAGGAAAAGAAAUCAACCGAGAUUCCCCCAGUAGCGGCGAGCGAACGGGGAGGAGCCCAGAGCCUGAAUCAGCAUGUGUGUUAGUGGAAGCGUCUGGAAAGGCGCGCGAUACAGGGUGACAGCCCCGUACACAAAAGCGCAUGUGCUGUGAGCUCGAUGAGUAGGGCGGGACACGUGGUAUCCUGUCUGAAUAUGGGGGGACCAUCCUCCAAGGCUAAAUACUCCUGACUGACCGAUAGUGAACCAGUACCGUGAGGGAAAGGCGAAAAGAACCCCGGCGAGGGGAGUGAAAAAGAACCUGAAACCGUGUACGUACAAGCAGUGGGAGCACCCUUCGGGGUGUGACUGCGUACCUUUUGUAUAAUGGGUCAGCGACUUAUAUUCUGUAGCAAGGUUAACCGUAUAGGGGAGCCGGAGGGAAACCGAGUCUUAAUUGGGCGUUAAGUUGCAGGGUAUAGACCCGAAACCCGGUGAUCUAGCCAUGGGCAGGUUGAAGGUUGGGUAACACUAACUGGAGGACCGAACCGACUAAUGUUGAAAAAUUAGCGGAUGACCUGUGGCUGGGGGUGAAAGGCCAAUCAAACCGGGAGAUAGCUGGUUCUCCCCGAAAGCUAUUUAGGUAGCGCCUCGUGAAUUCAUCUCCGGGGGUAGAGCACUGUUUCGGCUAGGGGGCCAUCCCGGCUUACCAACCCGAUGCAAACUGCGAAUACCGGAGAAUGUUAUCACGGGAGACACACGGCGGGUGCUAACGUCCGUCGUGAAGAGGGAAACAACCCAGACCGCCAGCUAAGGUCCCAAAGUCAUGGUUAAGUGGGAAACGAUGUGGGAAGGCCCAGACAGCCAGGAUGUUGGCUUAGAAGCAGCCAUCAUUUAAAGAAAGCGUAAUAGCUCACUGGUCGAGUCGGCCUGCGCGGAAGAUGUAACGGGGCUAAACCAUGCACCGAAGCUGCGGCAGCGACGCUGAUGCGUUGUUGGGUAGGGGAGCGUUCUGUAAGCCUGUGAAGGUGUGUCGUGAGGCAUGCUGGAGGUAUCAGAAGUGCGAAUGCUGACAUAAGUAACGAUAAAGCGGGUGAAAAGCCCGCUCGCCGGAAGACCAAGGGUUCCUGUCCAACGUUAAUCGGGGCAGGGUGAGUCGACCCCUAAGGCGAGGCCGAAAGGCGUAGUCGAUGGGAAACGGGUUAAUAUUCCCGUACUUGGUGUUACUGCGAAGGGGGGACGGAGAAGGCUAUGUUGGCCGGGCGACGGUUGUCCCGGUUUAAGCGUGUAGGUGUGUGUUCCAGGUAAAUCCGGUUCACUUUAACACUGAGGCGUGACGACGAGGCACUACGGUGCUGAAGCAACAAAUGCCCUGCUUCCAGGAAAAGCCUCUAAGCAUCAGGUAACAUCAAAUCGUACCCCAAACCGACACAGGUGGUCAGGUAGAGAAUACCAAGGCGCUUGAGAGAACUCGGGUGAAGGAACUAGGCAAAAUGGUGCCGUAACUUCGGGAGAAGGCACGCUGACACGUAGGUGAAGUGAUUUACUCAUGGAGCUGAAGUCAGUCGAAGAUACCAGCUGGCUGCAACUGUUUAUUAAAAACACAGCACUGUGCAAACACGAAAGUGGACGUAUACGGUGUGACGCCUGCCCGGUGCCGGAAGGUUAAUUGAUGGGGUCAGCGCAAGCGAAGCUCCUGAUCGAAGCCCCGGUAAACGGCGGCCGUAACUAUAACGGUCCUAAGGUAGCGAAAUUCCUUGUCGGGUAAGUUCCGACCUGCACGAAUGGCGUAAUGAUGGCCAGGCUGUCUCCACCCGAGACUCAGUGAAAUUGAACUCGCUGUGAAGAUGCAGUGUACCCGCGGCAAGACGGAAAGACCCCGUGAACCUUUACUAUAGCUUGACACUGAACAUUGAGCCUUGAUGUGUAGGAUAGGUGGGAGGCUUUGAAGUGUGGACGCCAGUCUGCAUGGAGCCGACCUUGAAAUACCACCCUUUAAUGUUUGAUGUUCUAACGUGGACCCGUAAUCCGGGUUGCGGACAGUGUCUGGUGGGUAGUUUGACUGGGGCGGUCUCCUCCUAAAGAGUAACGGAGGAGCACGAAGGUUGGCUAAUCCUGGUCGGACAUCAGGAGGUUAGUGCAAUGGCAUAAGCCAGCUUGACUGCGAGCGUGACGGCGCGAGCAGGUGCGAAAGCAGGUCAUAGUGAUCCGGUGGUUCUGAAUGGAAGGGCCAUCGCUCAACGGAUAAAAGGUACUCCGGGGAUAACAGGCUGAUACCGCCCAAGAGUUCAUAUCGACGGCGGUGUUUGGCACCUCGAUGUCGGCUCAUCACAUCCUGGGGCUGAAGUAGGUCCCAAGGGUAUGGCUGUUCGCCAUUUAAAGUGGUACGCGAGCUGGGUUUAGAACGUCGUGAGACAGUUCGGUCCCUAUCUGCCGUGGGCGCUGGAGAACUGAGGGGGGCUGCUCCUAGUACGAGAGGACCGGAGUGGACGCAUCACUGGUGUUCGGGUUGUCAUGCCAAUGGCACUGCCCGGUAGCUAAAUGCGGAAGAGAUAAGUGCUGAAAGCAUCUAAGCACGAAACUUGCCCCGAGAUGAGUUCUCCCUGAGACUUAGAGUCUCCUGAAGGAACGU